rnacentral:rRNA from 1 species
AUGCCUAUGGGUUUAUCGGAAGCUCCCGGUACUUUCAUGCGUCUUAUGCAUUUCGCGCUUCGUCCUUACAUUGGACUGUUUGUUAUGGUCUACUUUGACGACAUUCUUGUUUUUAGCAAAUCCGUCAAAGAUCAUGUAAAUCAUGUUAGGGUCGUUUUGCAAACUCUUCGAAAGGAACGUCUUUAUGCCAACAUGAAAAAAUGCACUUUCGGAGUUGACAAGCUUGUUUUCAUGGGUUUUGUUGUUUCCUCAAAGGGUGUCCAUGUUGAUGAGUCUAAAAUUGAAGCAAUUAAAACUUGGCCACAACCCACAAAUUUGCAACAAGUGCGUAGUUUUCUUGGCCUUGCGGGUUUCUAUCAUCGCUUUGUGAAAGAUUUUAACACUAUUGCCGCACUGUUGCAUGCCUUGAGUAAGAAAAAUUCACCCUUUGUUUGGGGACCUUUGCAAUCUACCGCAUUUGAUGAGCUCAAAUCCUUGCUUACUCAUGCUCUGAUUCUUGCUUUGCCUAACUUUGACAAAACUUUUGAGGUUCAUUGUGAUGCUAGUGGUAAUGGAAUUGGUGGAGUUUUGAUGCAAGAAAAGCGAGCCAUUGCAUAUUUUAGUGAAAAACUUUCCGGUGCUCAACUUAAUUAUCCCAUAUAUGACAAAGAAUUGUAUGCUUUAGUGCGUGUGUUGCAUGUUUGGGAGUAUUAUCUUAGACCACAUGAGUUUGUCAUACAUACCGAUCAUGAGACACUUAAGUACCUUAAAGGUCAAACCAAGUUGAAUACACGGCAUGCUAAAUGGAGUGAAUUUAUUGAAUCUUUCCCCUAUGUGAUCAAGUACAUUAAGGGCAAAGAGAAUGUCGUGGUGGAUGCUCUUUCCCGCAAAUGCAUGUUAAUUACUCAACUUGAAUUGAAUGUUGUUGGAUUUGAUCAUAUCAAAGAUUUGUAUGAGCACGAUGUGACUUUUGCUACUCCUUUUGCUAAGUGUGUGACGCAUACAUCUUGGGAACGAUAUUAUCAAAGAUGGUUAUCUAAUGAGAGCUAA